UACAGAGGUCCCAAGCGUUGUUCGGAAUUACUGGGCGUAAAGGGCUCGUAGGCGGCCAACUAAGUCGGACGUGAAAUCCCUCGGCUUAACCGGGGAACUGCGUCCGAUACUGGAUGGCUGGAGGUUGGGAGAGGGAUGCGGAAUUCCAGGUGUAGCGGUGAAAUGCGUAGAUAUCUGGAGGAACACCGGUGGCGAAGGCGGCAUCCUGGACCAAUUCUGACGCUGAGGAGCGAAAGCCAGGGGAGCAAACGGG
rnacentral:rRNA from 1 species